rnacentral:rRNA from 1 species
AUUGAACGCUGGUGGCAUGCCUUACACAUGCAAGUCGAACGGCAGCACGGGAGCAAUCCUGGUGGCGAGUGGCGAACGGGUGAGUAAUAUAUCGGAACGUGCCCAGUCGUGGGGAUAACGUAGCGAAAGCUACGCUAAUACCGCAUACGAUCUAUGGAUGAAAGCGGGGGAUCGCAAGACCUCGCGCGAUUGGAGCGGCCGAUAUCAGAUUAGGUAGUUGGUGAGGUAAAGGCUCACCAAGCCGACGAUCUGUAGCUGGUCUGAGAGGACGACCAGCCACACUGGGACUGAGACACGGCCCAGACUCCUACGGGAGGCAGCAGUGGGGAAUUUUGGGACAAUGGGCGCAAGCCUGAUCCAGCAAUGCCGCGUGCAGGAUGAAGGCCUCGGUUGUAACUGCUUUGUACGGUACGAAACGGUGAGCUCUAUACAGUUGCUAAUGACGGUACCGUAAGAAUAAG